GUAGGGAAUCUUGCGCAAUGGGCGAAAGCCUGACGCAGCAACUCCGCGUGCGGGAAGAAGGCCUUCGGGUUGUAAACCGCUUUUAGCAGGAACGAAAAUGACGGUACCUGCAGAAUAAGGUGCGGCCAACUACGUGCCAGCAGCCGCGGUGACACGUAGGCACCAAGCGUUGUCCGGAUUUAUUGGGCGUAAAGAGCUCGUAGGCGGCUCAGUUAGUCGGGUGUGAAAACUCAGGGCUUAACCCUGAGACGCCACUCGAUACUGCUGGGCUAGAAUUCGGUAGGGGAGUGGGGAAUUCCUGGUGUAGCGGUGAAAUGCGCAGAUAUCAGGAGGAACACCGGUGGCGAAGGCGCCACUCUGGGCCGACAUUGACGCUGAGGAGCGAAAGCGUGGGUAGCAAACAGGAUUAGAUACCCCUGUAGUCC
rnacentral:rRNA from 1 species